rnacentral:rRNA from 1 species
UGGGGAAUUUUGGACAAUGGGCGAAAGCCUGAUCCAGCAAUGCCGCGUGUGUGAAGAAGGCCUUCGGGUUGUAAACACUUUUGUCCGGAAAGAAAUCCUUGGCUCUAAUACAGUCGGGGGAUGACGGUACCGGAAGAAUAAGCACCGGCUAACUACGUGCCAGCAGCCGCGGUAAUACGUAGGGUGCAAGCGUUAAUCGGAAUUACUGGGCGUAAAGCGUGCGCAGGCGGUUUGCUAAGACCGAUGUGAAAUCCCCGGGCUCAACCUGGGAACUGCAUUGGUGACUGGCAGGCUAGAGUAUGGCAGAGGGGGGUAGAAUUCCACGUGUAGCAGUGAAAUGCGUAGAGAUGUGGAGGAAUACCGAUGGCGAAGGCAGCCCCCUGGGCCAAUACUGACGCUCAUGCACGAAAGCGUGGGGAGCAAACAGGAUUAGAUACCCUGGUAGUCCAGCGCCCUAAACGAUGUCAACUAGUUGUUGGGGAUUCAUUUCCUUAGUAACGUAGCUAACGCGUGAAGUUGACCGCCUGGGGAGUACGGUCGCAAGAUU